GUGAGGAAUAUUGGACAAUGGGCGCAAGCCUGAUCCAGCCAUGCCGCGUGCAGGAAGACGCAUCUAUGGUGUGUAAACUGCUUUUGUACGGGAAGAAACACUCCCUCGUGAGGGAGCUUGACGGUACCGUAAGAAUAAGGAUCGGCUAACUCCGUGCCAGCAGCCGCGGUAAUACGGAGGAUCCAAGCGUUAUCCGGAAUCAUUGGGUUUAAAGGGUCCGUAGGCGGUUUAAUAAGUCAGUGGUGAAAGCCCAGCGCUCAACGAUGGAACGGCCAUUGAUACUGUUAGACUUGAAUUACAAGGAAGUAACUAGAAUAUGUAGUGUAGCGGUGAAAUGCUUAGAUAUUACAUGGAAUACCAAUUGCGAAGGCAGGUUACUACUUGUGGAUUGACGCUGAUGGACGAAAGCGUGGGGAGCGAACAGGAUUAGAAACCCUUGUAGUCA
rnacentral:rRNA from 1 species